AAAGCUCAGUGGCAGAGCAUCUGCUUCACAAACAGAAGGUCCCGGGUUCAGUCCCCAGCAGCAUCU